CACCCACGCAAUCAAGUUCUUGUUUCUUCCUUUUUUUUUUUUUUCUUUUUCCCCUUUUUUUCUCUCUGGUCAUCCAAUAAUACCAUCCUCUUCGAGAGCUGGGUGCGUAUGAUGCGUGCUAUAACAGAAGGAGGAGGAGGAGGAGGAGAAGGAGGGGGAGGUGGUGUUUGUGAAGUAAAAGAAGGAGGAGGAAGAGGAGGAGGAGGUUACGUAUGCAUUAUAAUCGCGCUUGUACUCGGACUCUUACCACCCUCGAUUUGACCUCUUCUGCUUUAUCCCGCACGUCGAGGAGUUGGCUCGUGUGUACGCACAUAUUAGAACCUGUCCAGUGCAACCGACCGAUCGUUUUACCGCGUCAUCGUUAACUCAACCCAAAGGGGGCCCAACCUUCUAAGUAAGGGCAAUCGCCCAAGUCGAACUUUUCUGAUCUUUAACGGACGAGGGUCCCAUUAUUCCCAGGUGUGCCUUCUUCGAAACCCCGGACGAUAGAUAGAGAUAGAGAUAGAAAGAGGCAGAGAGAAAGAGAGAGAAAGAGAGAGAGAGAGAAGAAGAAGAAGAAGAAGAAGAGAGAGAAAGAGAGAGAGAGAGAGAGCGAAAGAUUGAGAUAGAAGGAGAUAGGAGGAGUCUCUCUUUCUCUCUCUCUCUCUCUCUCUCUUUCUCUCAUCUUCUUCAGCUGCAGUAAUAAAUCUUAAGAAAAAGCUUUUCGAGUCUUACCCUCGUUCGUCCCUUCGUCCUAUGAUGACGUAAGGACUUUUCCCGUUGACCAACGGCGUUUAUUCUUGUCUCAAGAGAAAGACGUCUUAUAAUUCUAGGAAUAACUUUCUAUUCUCGACAAAUUUUUUUUUUUUCUUUUCUUCCCUUCUCUUUUCUCCAUUCUCCUUCCGUUGUCGUUGAAAAUAUCUCGUUAUCUCGAACAGACGUAAACUUCAUAAUAUAAAUUCGAUAUCACGUUAUAAUCUUUUUGAAAAUCAUUUUAUUUCAUGUCGGCGUUUCGACGAAAGAAAUUUGGAAAAUGGAAGGAAGGUUGAUAGAAAGAAAGAAAGAAAGGGGGCGGCAAUGUUGUUCCGAGGGAACGACAGCACGUUCUUUCGAAUACGUAGAGACGAAGUGCAUCCAGAAAUAGUCUCUGUUUUGUCUGCAUACGUUGCGGUUGCAACGAUGCAAACAAGAGUGGUUAAUAUUUCACCCCUGUCUCUCUUUACCCUAUUCGCCGUUCCUCGCAUUAUCUCUCUCUCUCUCUCUCUCUCUCUCUCUCUCUCUCUUUCUCUUUCUCUGUUUUUUUUUUCUUUGUGUCCUUCUUGAUUUCAAUAUGGAACCUAUAGAAUUAGUAGAUUGCG